GAUGAACGCUGACAGAAUGCUUAACACAUGCAAGUCGACUCGAGUCUUCGGACUUGGGUGGCGCACGGGUGAGUAACGCGUAAAGAACUUGCCUCUUAGACCGGGACAACAUCUGGAAACGGAUGCUAAUACCGGAUAUUAUGGUUUUUUCGCAUGGAGGAAUCAUGAAAGCUAGAUGCGCUAAGAGAGAGCUUUGCGUCCCAUUAGCUGGUUGGUGAGGUAACGGCCCACCAAGGCAAUGAUGGGUAGCCGGCCUGAGAGGGUGAACGGCCACAAGGGGACUGAGACACGGCCCUUACUCCUACGGGAGGCAGCAGUGGGGAAUAUUGGACAAUGGACCGCAAGUCUGAUCCAGCAAUUCUGUGUGCACGAUGACGUUUUUCGGAAUGUAAAGUGCUUUCAGUCGGGAAGAAGUCAGUGACGGUACCGACAGAAGAAGCGACGGCUAAAUACGUGCCAGCAGCCGCGGUAAUACGUAUGUCGCAAGCGUUAUCCGGAUUUAUUGGGCGUAAAGCGCGUCUAGGCGGCAAGGAAAGUCUGAUGUGAAAAUGCGGAGCUCAACUCCGUAUGGCGUUGGAAACUGCCUUACUAGAGUACUGGAGAGGUAGGCGGAACUACUAGUGUAGAGGUGAAAUUCUUAGAUAUUUGUAGGAAUGCCGAUGGGGAAGCCAGCCUACUGGACAGAUACUGACGCUGAAGCGCGGAAAGCGUGGGUAGCAAAACAGG
rnacentral:rRNA from 1 species